rnacentral:tRNA from 1 species
GUAGGUGUAGUUUACGUAAAAUGCUGCGGUGUGGGUGCAGAGUCAGGGUGUCCUCACUUAUG